rnacentral:lncRNA from 1 species
AUUGGUCUUGUUUAUUCUGAACACUCUGUGUGACAAUUUCAUAAUUCAGGUGUGCGCUAACAAACUUCUUCCAAGUCUAUCAUCCACCAACUUGUUGGGUUCUGCCAAGUUUUCAGCACAUUUCACAAGUGGUUUGAAAGAGCCUAUCUGCAGAGUUUGGAUGAUGGAAAUUGAUGAAAUUAAGAAGAAUGAUAUCUGAAAGACUUAUCCAGAUGUUAAUCACUGAGUACGUGAUAUGGUAUCAUCAGAGUUCAGUGAAGAUUCAUCAAUUAAAUAAGACCACUGACUUUGGGUAUCACAUGCUUUGUCCAAAGCUCAUUGCAGUGCAGCAGCAAGAGAAGUUUAAUGAAGAAGAACAACCCUAUUCUUUCUGA